UGCUGUCAUCCUGUCACUAUGCUGCUGGCCCCUGCUGGCAGAAGUAUUCCUGUUCACGAGAAGACAGCAUCCAGCUCUGACCGUUGCCAGGAAGUGAGAGGCACCAAGAAAUGAGCUGAAAGCUUACCUAUGGGCUCCUUUUCCCAGCACCUCACUGGAAAGUAAUGAACAAACAAGGAAGACGGGCUUACCGGGUCUCGAACUUGAGCAACAACCCUCAGCCAUCAUGGACUUAAGGAAAUGAGCAUGCCAGUGUGUCACCACACAGGAAUAGACUGAAGCCACUCUGCAUGACAGCCCCACAGAGAAAGAAGCAAAACCAUGGAUGGCGGCAUCACAUGGGGCAAACGGAGGAAACUGUGCGAUCACUCAUUUCACAAAUACACGAUUUGCAUCUUCUCUCUUCCUCCCUUGAUGGUUGGCGUCCACUUUGCCCGCUAACGCCAUCAUCCGUUACAAAUGAAAAAGCCUU